rnacentral:snRNA from 1 species
UUGCUUUGGUGGCACAUACACUAAAAUUUGAGCAAUGCAGAGAAAUCAGCAUGGACCCUGUACAAGGAUGUGCACAAAUUAGUGAAGCACUCCAUAAUUUU